rnacentral:rRNA from 1 species
CCUACGGGAGGCAGCAGUAGGGAAUCUUCCACAAUGGGCGAAAGCCUGAUGGAGCAACGCCGCGUGGGUGAAGAAGGUCUUCGGAUCGUAAAACCCUGUUGUUAGAGAAGAAAGCGCGUGAGAUUAACUGUUCAUGUUUCGUCGGUAUCUAACCAGUAAGCCACGGCUAACUACGUGCUAGCAGCCGCGGUAAUACGUAGGUGGCAAGCGUUAUCCGGAUUUAUUGGGCGUAAGGGGAACGCAGGCGGUCUUUUAAGUCUGAUGUGAAAGCCUUCGGCUUAACGGGAGUAGUGCGUUGGAAACGGGGGGGCUUGAGUGCAGUAGGGGAGAGUGGAACUCCAGGUGUAGCGGUGGAAUGCGUAGAUAUAUGGAAGAACACCAGUGGCGAAGGCAGGUCUCUGGUCUGUAACUGACGCUGAGGUUCGAAAGCGUGGGUAGCAAACAGGAUUAGAUACCCGUGUAGUC